GUGCUUUGGGAGAAUAAUUAAGUUUAAUAGGAAUAGGUCUGGAGGGUUUUCAAUGCCAAGACCACAGGUGCGGGGUGGCAUGAUGAAUGAUUUGCCUGAUUUUUGCCAAGCUCAAGGGCUCUUCUCUUGGACUUUCAAGCAGAUAGAAAAUAUUGUCAUUUCUUUUAAUUCACAGCAUUACUUUCAAACCGAACAAAGGCCGGAGCCGGGGGGGAGGCGGGGGAACGGCCCGGCUGUACUGAAGCGCUUCGGAGGCGGAGGUGCAGCCCAAGAGGCUGAGGCGGCAACGGAGCGCGCUGCUGCGUUUGUGCGCAAGUGACACUCCUGUGCCACACACAAAAGGCCUUCUUCUCCCCACCUUCUGCUGCUUUUCAGCCCUCGGGCCCCUGCCAAACCGGCUCAUAGGACGCCCGGGGGCUCCUGGCCCCCUAUCCAGGGCAACUCAGCCUUUGGGACAUCCAUCGCUGCCAAGGCAAACCUCUCCAAACUUUCCCCAAACUCGGACGGCUGGGGAGGGACCCUGGCUGGAGGCGCGCAUGCGCCCCGUCUGCUGCUGCCAGUUCCCAGGGUUCCGGAGAGCCGGGGUGGAGUUGGAGGUGUAGCCCUAGAGGCCUGCCUAACCCCUACUAUACCAAAAGUCGGGGUUCGGGUGCGGUCUGUCCGCCCAGGAGGCAGGAAGCAGCUGCCCGGCACCAGCUCUCCACCAUUUUUCUACCUUUGCGCAUGGAAAUCUCCAAAAAGGGAUCCAAGAAGCGGCGAGUUGAAUUGGGGGUCAUCGGCCUGGAAGAAGCCGGGAAUCGGAGCCCAAGACUUCUUCUAAGGAGGCCCCAGGUCCCUGCGCCCCACUGACCUGGCAGGGAGCCUCGGGCAUUCCUGCUGCUUCAGGUCGGAUGGCCAGGAACGCAGGUUGUUGGCGGGCUGGUUUUGCCUGGUGGCCUGAGCGCCCGCAUUAGCGGCCACAGUGGUCGGGGCACAACCUUCUUGCUGGUCCCAUUUUCGGGCUCUUUGGGGUCUACUGUUGCUUCCCAGAGAGGUUUGGCCUCUGAAUGAUCCUCUCAAAUUAAUGUCAGCAGGUUUCCUGGUGUGUCCACAUCUGUUCCAAACAACCUGUUGCGCUGGCAUUGCGUUGGAAAGGCACUGGCACUUUACUUGAGGGAAGCAGGUUGUGUUGCUUGUCCGGGCUUCCAGGACAGGAUUUAAGGUUCUCUCUUAAUGAGAGGCACCCCUCUCCUCCUCCAGUGAUACCUGGCGUGCUUCAUUCACCCUGUCCUUGUCCCAACAAUUCAAGGCACCUGGGCACCCUUGUACCUUGCCUCCUCUAGGG
ensembl:processed_transcript 1810010K12Rik RIKEN cDNA 1810010K12 gene